rnacentral:rRNA from 1 species
GAUGAACGCUGGCGGCGUGCCUAAUACAUGCAAGUCGAGCGAAUGGAUUAAGAGCUUGCUCUUAUGAAGUUAGCGGCGGACGGGUGAGUAACACGUGGGUAACCUGCCCAUAAGACUGGGAUAACUCCGGGAAACCGGGGCUAAUACCGGAUAACAUUUUGAACCGCAUGGUUCGAGAUUGAAAGGCGGCUUCGGCUGUCACUUAUGGAUGGACCCGCGUCGCAUUAGCUAGUUGGUGAGGUAACGGCUCACCAAGGCAACGAUGCGUAGCCGACCUGAGAGGGUGAUCGGCCACAAUGGGACCGAGACACGGCCAAGACUCCUACGGGAGGCAGCAGUAGGGAAUCUUCCGCAAUGGACGAAAGUCUGACGGAGCAACGCCGCGUGAGUGAUGAAGGCUUUCGGGUCGUAAAACUCUGUUGUUAGGGAAGAACAAGUGCUAGUUGAAUAAGCUGGCACCUUGACGGUACCUAACCAGAAAGCCACGGCUAACUACGUGCCAGCCGCCGCAGUAA